ensembl:snRNA U2 U2 spliceosomal RNA
AUAUUAGGUACUAAUAUUAGUACCUAAUUGUAGUAUCUGUUCUUAUCAGUUUAAUAUCUGAUCCGUCCUCUAUACGAGGACUACAUAUUAAAUUGAUUUUUAGAACAGGGAGCCGGAAGAGGGGCUUGCUCCGUCCGCUCCACGCAGCGACCUGGUAUUGCAGUACCUCCGGGAACAGUAAUUGUG